AACUUUAGAUUGUGAUGAAAACAAUGGUUAAACAGCAGAAAAGCAUAUAUCUAUAUAGCUCUUAGGGAAUGGCUUCCAAUGGUGUUUGCUUGAGCAGGACAUAUCAUCUAUAGGAAGGACUGGUGGGUUGCAUGUCUCCAUCGAAAGAGCUAAUAUCUAGCCACACGGUCAUAAUUGGACAAAAGAAUUCAACUCUUCUAAGACAUGAGAGAAUCACUGGUGUCUGCUGUGCCACAUCCUUAUCAAGUGUUUGAAUGGACCUUUCUUAGCUGGAGAAUAAGAACGAACCAUUGAUUGAGUACGAAUAAUCACCGAUCUGAUUCUCAGUAUCGACGGCUAAAGUUCAAAUAGGAUCUCCACAUGGUGAGGCUCAUCCAGAAAGUGUCUCCACGGAAGGCAGAUGAAGAAGACGUUCUUCUGAUAUCAGGUGCCACUGCCUCGAAAAAUCUUAAACUCUUUCCACUCUUCUUAUCAGAUAGCAGUGUGCGACAUGUAGAGCCAAGGAAACAGGAAUCUAAUGCAUAGAGUUAGCCAUGAGCAAGAAGUACGAAAUGGGGCCGUCUUGGAUUUGACCCUCGUUCUGACAGAUUAUAGCCGACCACAUGCCGCAGCUUAUUCAAUGUCACCUCAAACAUCCCCAUCCAUGGAUAGAUGACAAUUUGGCUUUUCUUGAGUAAGAGCCGUCAACCUCUACAUCGGCCAGCAGCCAUCCGCCACGCAUAUCUCGAGAAAGUCCAAGAUUCCAGCUUCCGGCCCUACCGUCUCGGAAUCCUGCUUCAGGUAGGCGGCCGGGAAUCUGACCUCUCUUAUCGUCAACGCUAUUCCAUGAAUAGAAGUGUUUGAUGAAAUGCCUCGCAGAGUUUUUCAUUAGGGGUACUACUGUUAACAUUGCAUGAGUCGAACAUCUUCCUUUGUUGCACUUUGAAUGGUCCAUAAAACGCACACCAACAUCUUCCUUUAUUCUUUUUAUUUCUUUCUUCCUCUGAAACAAAAACUUAUCCCUGUUUCAACGAGGAUGAGAUUGUGGUGUGAUUUGUUUGGCUGUAAGCUUUCCAC